UACGGAAGGUCCGGGCGUUAUCCGGAUUUAUUGGGUUUAAAGGGAGCGUAGGCCGGAGAUUAAGCGCGUUGUGAAAUGUAGAUGCUCAACAUCUGAACUGCAGCGCGAACUGGCUUCCUUGAGUACGCAUAAAGUGGGCGGAAUUCGUGGUGUAGCGGUGAAAUGCUUAGAUAUCACGAAGAACUCCGAUUGCGAAGGCAGCUCACUGGGGCGCAACUGACGCUGAAGCUCGAAAGCGCGGGUAUCGAACAGG
rnacentral:rRNA from 1 species